AGGGGGCGAUUCAGCACGACAGAUCCCCUUUGUAGGAAUAUUGUUGCAGCACUCACUCUGGCCCCUGUCUGCCCUAUAGAUCAUCCUGUACCAGAGAUCUACAGCAUAAUGGCCUGGAAGCAGUCUUUGUUUUGGAGCCAAGCCCAGCAAAGUCUCAAUUCCUUCCCCUUCAAUCGCCAUCUGGAUGAACAAGGCCAAGUCAUUGACCUUCUCUGGGCCUCAGUUUCCUCACCCAUAAACUGGAGCAAAGUCAUCUCCAAGACAGCAGGAACCAUGUUUACUCUUUAAUCAUUGUAUGCUCCCUAAAUAUUUGCUGAACAAGUGAACAAAAAACCUGGUGGUGGUGAAAUUAGACUCCUUCUUGGUGUCACCAGGAGGUCCAGUUAAACAUACCAAGACUUGAGGAAUUAUGUCCAAGGUUCCAGCAUUGAACAUGAAGAACGCAGGAUUUAUUGGCACGUCGUGAUAACCGUAAAGCCCACGCUUCUACUGCAGUGUUGAGUUUGCGUGCCCUUGGGACAGAAGACAGAAUAGAGGCUGAGAAAAUUGCUUGUUGGAAGAAUGAAUCCUGGGUCUGCUAUUACAAGAAACUUCUCAACUUCUAGCCUUAUCUCUCACCACUCCUUCCUUAGAUCCUAAGAUUCAACCAUCCCUGACAUCAACACACCAUGUCCUGUGCUUUGUGCCACCUGUUUACCUUUGUACAUGGCAUUCCCACGUGGUAGAAUCUCGCUCCCAUACAAUCUGUUAUACUUGGAACCCCCUUCCUUUAUUCUCAAAACGUAAUUCCCUUUGAGAAAGUUUCUCUGACGUUUUCCUGACAAUGAACCAAUCCUUCCUCCA
rnacentral:lncRNA from 1 species